GAUGAACGCUAGCGGCAGGCCUAAUACAUGCAAGUCGAACGGGAUUGUCGGAGCUUGCUUCCGGCAUGAGAGUGGCGUACGGGUGCGUAACGCGUGAGCAACCUACCCUUGUCAGGGGGAUAGCCCGGAGAAAUCCGGAUUAAUACCGCAUGACACCAAUUUGUGGCCUCACAUAUUGGUCAAAUAUUUAUAGGACAAGGAUGGGCUCGCGUGACAUUAGCUAGUUGGUAAGGUAACGGCUUACCAAGGCGACGAUGUCUAGGGGCUCUGAGAGGAGAACCCCCCACACUGGUACUGAGACACGGACCAGACUCCUACGGGAGGCAGCAGUAAGGAAUAUUGGUCAAUGGAGGCAACUCUGAACCAGCCAUGCCGCGUGCAGGAAGACGGCCCUAUGGGUUGUAAACUGCUUUUAUACGGGAAUAAACCCCAUUACGAGUAAUGGGCUGCAUGUACCGUACGAAUAAGGAUCGGCUAACUCCGUGCCAGCAGCCGCGGUAAUACGGAGGAUCCGAGCGUUAUCCGGAAUUAUUGGGUUUAAAGGGUCCGUAGGCGGGAGAAUUAGUCAGUGGUGAAAGUCUGUGGCUCAACCAUAGAAUUGCCGUUGAAACUGUUUUCCUUGAGUCAUUAUGAAGUGGUUAGAACAUGUAGUGUAGCGGUGAAAUGCAUAGAUAUUACAUAGAAUACCGAUUGCGUAGGCAGAUCACUAAUAAUGUACUGACGCUGAGGGACG
rnacentral:rRNA from 1 species